rnacentral:lncRNA from 1 species
AUCAGCAUCUGGAGGAGGAGGAGGAGGAGAUAGGAGAGGGGAUAAUCAGUCUUCAUUAGCUGCUGUAACUGAAUCACAAGGUCAUCUCUGUCGACCGUGGGAUCGUGCUGAUUUUAUGAAGAGAUUAGCUACAUUUAAAUCUAUAUCAUGGUUUGCUAAACCUAAGGUACAAAUCACUACUUUGUUAUUAUUAUACCUACUAGUUCCACACUCGUGCGAUGCACGGGUAUUAUGCGGU